AUACGUAGGGUGCGAGCGUUAAUCGGAAUUACUGGGCGUAAAGCGUGCGCAGGCGGUUUUGUAAGACAGUGGUGAAAUCCCCGGGCUCAACCUGGGAACUGCCAUUGUGACUGCAAGGCUGGAGUGCGGCAGAGGGGGAUGGAAUUCCGCGUGUAGCAGUGAAAUGCGUAGAUAUGCGGAGGAACACCGAUGGCGAAGGCAAUCCCCUGGGCCUGCACUGACGCUCAUGCACGAAAGCGUGGGGAGCAAACAGGAUUAGAUACCCUGGUAGUCCACGCCCUAAACGAUGUCAACUGGUUGUUGGGAAUUUAUUUUCUCAGUAACGAAGCUAACGCGUGAAGUUGACCGCCUGGGGAGUACGGCCGCAAGGUUAAAACUUAAAGGAAUUGACGGGG
rnacentral:rRNA from 1 species